GAUGAACGCUGGCGGCGUGCCUAAUACAUGCAAGUCGAGCGAACGGACGAGAAGCUUGCUUUUCUGAUGUUAGCGGCGGACGGGUGAGUAACACGUGGAUAACCUACCUAUAAGACUGGGAUAACUUCGGGAAACCGGAGCUAAUACCGGAUAAUAUUUUGAACCGCAUGGUUCAAAAGUGAAAGACGGUCUUGCUGUCACUUAUAGAUGGAUCCGCGCGGCAUUAGCUAGUUGGUAAGGUAACGGCUUACCAAGGCAACGAUGCAUAGCCGACCUGAGAGGGGGAUCGGCGACACUGGAACUGGGACACGGUCCAGACUCCGACGGGAGGCCGCAGUAGGGAAUCUUGCGCAAUGGGCGGAAGCCUGACGGAGGAACGCCGGGUGGGUGAAGAAGGUCUUCGGAUCGUAAAACUCUGUUAUUGGGGAAGAACAUAUGUGUAAGUAACUGUGCACAUCUUGACGGUACCUAAACAGAAAGCCCCGGCUAACUACGUG
rnacentral:rRNA from 1 species